UGGGAUGGUACCAUUGGAUUGGCCUCCAU
rnacentral:piRNA from 1 species